CCAUCGUGUGGCAUUACUGUCUUCAGACAUCUCUUGAUCUCUUUGACUACUUCACGAAAAUUGUAAUACGCCUCGCCAGUGGCGGAUUCAAAGGUGAGGAGAGGAGCUGAUGUUAUUGGUCAAUACAGGUCUCAGCUGUGUUAAACCCACUCUAUGCCCUCUCUCCUCCCGCGCUACGACUUAUGCCGCUGGGAGGAGCUUAGUUAGGGAGGGGGGAUACUUACGCCGGGCUGCGCCGUUCACCAAAAUACCAAAAUGUGCUUGGGAACGCCUCAUCGGCGCAGCGGACCUGACUUACGCCGCCCCUGCACCACGUCUCCGUCGAAGGACGAAAAUAGAGCCCUUAUUGUUAGGGAAGGAGGACACCCUGAGGGAAAUGUCAUGUUUGAGAAGUGUGUAGUGCAAACUAUAAUGCAUUUCAUCACACUUAUCUGAUGCAAAAUAAAGAAAUGCAGCAAAUGGUGAAACCAACAUGUUCUUGCUCAUAAUGCUGCAGUCACAGCAAGGCAAUUAGAAAACCUUGGCCCCUGUGUUUGAUGUGAAUUUAAAUCUCUAGGAUUUAGAUAAUUCCAUGGCUAAUAAUCCCCAAAUUGUGCUGUCUUAAAUUUAUGUCUACUCAUUUGUUACAUUUUUGUUUACCGGGGCAACAAUUACUGCGAGCACAGUUUGACAUCUUAUUGUGGCAUCUGAAAUAAAAAAAGCAAGCACACGCUUACACAGCUGCUCUUAUAAGACUCACAGUUUUUUUGUUGUUGUUGCCAACUGUAAUGACUCAUCAUUUAUCUGUAAACAAAACUUGUAUGACAUUUAAUGAUGUUACAAAGACAAGCUUCAAGCAAAACUAAAAAUGUAAUUUCAUAGUAGACUGCUUAUAAAGAGCUCAUACUCCAUGCAGGGUGUCUGGCUAAGUUCAUUAGGUGAUAGCAGGGGGUGCACUAUUUGAAAGCCUCCUAUCUGGGGAGAAAGCACUCAGAGCUUCUACUUAAAUAACAGUAAUAAUAGCCGAGAUAAAAAUACCCCACCCAGUGUCAGAGUAAUGCGUUCAAAAUUUUACUGAAGCAGAAGCACAAUCUAUUGUAUAUUAGACCGUAUUAAGAGUACCUGAAAUGUUUGUUGGCUUUUAUCCAUUAUUGUACAUGAAGUCGCUUAGCACUCACUCAAACUGUGACAAAUAGCCCCAUCCAGCUUACCAAAACACACAUUUAACUCACUGAUACAUCAGUGAUCUUUCAGGGAGGUGGGGUCAAUAGCAGAAAUUUGAGGCACGCAUGUUAGGCCUAAGAAGAUAUGAUGAUUCCCAUGUUUGGUAUGUUCCUCUCACAGACUGGAAUGGACGCCAUCUGCCUCCUUGCUGGGUGAAGCCAUCGUGAGAACAGCACCCUCUGGUGACGGGCUGCAGUAUAGUUCAUAAAUCCCACCUCCUUCAGCAAUCCCUAUGAAGCUGUAGACAAAUUUUGGAAAUUAAUUACACAGAAUGUAUUUUUUUCUCUCCCCUGCUUAUGAUGUUGACAUGUAGUUACUGUAAGACUGGUUUGUGCUCAAGUCCUCUUUUUUCUGUGCAGCUCCAUUUUUAAAAGUUGUUAGGGGGUUCACAUUUUCUAUGAUUGACAUUUGAUACAGCCUAUGGGUGUACGAAGAUUGCGUAGCUCACGCUGGGGAUAUACUGUUUGAGCCGGGCGCCGAAUGCGUACAAUGCUUCUGCACAAGAGGUGGUUCCAAGAAGUGGCAAAAAUCCCAGAAAUACCAAGAACAAUUCAGCUUCAAAUUCAUGUAAUGAUGGAAGGAAGAGCCAAGUAUAUCCAUAGUAUAUACACUCUAUAGUUCCUCCUCUGCUAAUCUGAAACAAAAGGUUGCAGGAGCUGUCUAUCAGUUAUAAUUUCAUAUCUAAAUAACCAAUUAGAACUAAACUCACCAGAAAGAAUUUCGACAACAACAGAGACUACAUUUUCAGAGAUAUUCAUCUAAAGUCUGUUUUAAACUUGUAGUUUGACCAAUGUCCCGUCUGUUGACAUGAAAAAGGUAAGGCUAUGACCCAUACUGCAGCCAGUCAGCAGGGGGAGUUCUAAAUCUUUUGGCUUUACAGUUAAUGAACACAUGUCUGAUUUAUUUUGAUGUGCUCACACAUGGUUCAUGUCUGUAUUACAAAGGCAGAACUGUGGGGCAAAGUCAGUCCACCUUUGACUCACUGUGGGAGCUGGGAACAGAGGCACAAUGGGGGGGAUGGUUAGCAUGUCACAAUGCGUAGUAUUGGAGUCAACAAUACAAAAUAAUAGGGUUGUGUGUGUAUGUGCAUGUCUGAGUGUGAGCGCAUGUGGCGCUCCUGCUGUGUGUUUGCACGCUGUGCCUCUCGCGCUUCCACAAUACUGUACUGGAAUGUGAAAUCACAGAGUGGUGCACCAAUAUUACACCACAACGGAGGUCAGUGUGAAGAACAUAGGCGUGACAAGUUUUGCUAAAUGAGAAUGACAACUUUUAAAAAAGUGUUUGUGUAGGGACAACAACAACAACUCCAAAAGUAAAAGCUACCACUCCACAUGAAGAACUUUCCAUCUGUAUGUUAGAGGAGGAACAGUGAGGAGAGUGACCCCCUUCAAGUUUUUGGACACACAAGCUGUAUCUUUCAGGGCUUCAUGUGGAUUUCAAACACUGUGUCUCUGCUGAAGAAGGCUCAGCGGCAUCUCUCCUUCCUGAGGGCAUUAAGAAAAACGAACCUGUCUCAGCAUCAGCAUCUGUCCUUCUACCACCACUCCAUCAAAAGCAUAAUCACCCACGGCAUCCUGGUGUGGUAUGCUCACUGCACCAUAGCUGAGAACAAAAAAACGCUGCCAAGAGUUAUCAACUCAGCACAGAGGACAACUGACACACAGCCCCAUUCUCCUGAAGACAUUUACAAAACCUGAUGUGCACACCAAGCCAAUAAGACUCAUCACACCCUAGGAAUCACCUGUUGCCUGCUGAAAGGCAAAACCCCUCUAUAAAGACCCACACUGCAGUUUCACUCUGGAUGUCUCCAAAAAGCUGAACUUGAUUCCAAAAGUUUUAAGGUCAUGUAAAUAUUUACUCCAAGGCUAUACACAAAAGAGGAGCAACAACUCGUGACUUCUCUUUGGACAGUGCAGUAUUGGCUGUAAAUCUUUUGUUAUUUAUUGCCUGUGUUUAUGUUUUAAUGUGCUGAAUGAUGCUGCUGUAUAUUGUAUAAUGUGUGCCAAUUAUUUGAUUUAAAGCAAUGCAUUCCUUUGCAUUUACCCUGAUCCAACGUACAGGCAGAAUAAUAGAGGCUGGCAGUCAGAGGAAAAUCUUACUGCACAGUGUUGACAGGCUGUGCUGUCAGUGUGAUGAGGGAGCUGUAGAGACAGAAUUACACCUUCUAACAGAAUGUCAGGACUACAAAAAAUAUUAGACAGGUGUUCUCUCCAAAGUAAAAGUCCAAAAAAAGUGGCAUCAACCCCUUUCUCUGUCUUUUCUGGCUACAGGAGAAUGGUCAGAGACAGAUAAAAGACUAUUAACUGUGAUUUGGCAUCACAUUUGUGAUUUUAGGAAAAUAACCACACUUACUGAAAGUGAAUUAUAAUGUGAUAGAACAAAAACAUGCACUGGUCUCAGGUUAACCUCUGUCUAGCUGCAGGUCCUGUAGGCGUAUCAGGCAAAUGUUUAAUUUGACUAAGAUGGAGACAAGCUGGAGGUUUAAACUGCAAGAUGUUUUAUUUUUGUUCACAUGAUUAAUCAUUGUCUAUUCACUAUCUGACACACAGACGUGUUCAUAGGAAAACGUACAUACGAGGACUGUGGAGUGUGAAAUAUUCAUGCACUGUCUGGGCCGAUAAACUGUCAAAAUCAGACUGAAGGUUCAGUCAAGUGUUACGAAAAUUCGUCAGCGAGGAAUAAGAGGUUAAAGUGGGGAUGUAACUGUAUUGAGCAUGUUUUUGCACGCUCUUAUCUGGAGUCUUAAAUGGGCAGAUUUCUGAAAUAAAGCAGUAAUAUCUGGUUUAAUGAAUUCAUGAGAUGGAGGAAGAAAAGUUUUGUGCAUGCGCUGCUUUCGCCCAGCUUGUGCUUCCUGCCAGAGAGCGAAAGCCCACUUUGGAAGCGGAUCUGGCUUCAUCAGGGUAUUCAUGACAAGUCUUACUGAUUUUCUGUCACCUUCAAAACUGUUCCAUCUUUCACUGACAGGCAAAGUCUUCACCUAAUGUCGUCAAACUGCUUCUAAUCAUAGUACCAUCUUAUUACUGUGCCAUUGUCAUGCUGUACAGAAGCUGCUUACUCUCACUAAGGUUUCAUGUCUAUUCUGUGAUUCAAAAAGACACAAUUAGGAUUGCUCAGUGACUCAGUGGAGUCAACCUUGUUGUUGCUAAUUAGUUUUUCCUUAUCUCGACAUUUGUGAAGAUUACAGAGCAAAAUUAAUGAGUUACAACCAUAGUUUAGUGGUCUGUGUGUUACCGAUUUGAAGUCCAUAAAAUCAGCCAGUUUAAUGUUUUACAGCUAAUGAAUGAUUAUCUGUUUCAAAUAAAACACCAGCUGUAGAAUCAGAAUUGUUAAUGCUUAGUGGUAAAUUGGACAAAUGUUUUAUUCAGAUUUAAGAACCAUCAAUGACCGCAAAAUGUAUCAACUACAUUCGUAAUUGUUCCCCUUCCACCACACUUGAUACCAGCAUUAAACACUGUAUAGAUGUUCUUUAUCAAAAACACUUGGUCUUGAUGUUAUUAAGGCUCGCAUCAGUAAAAUAAAGCUA